GCAGAUGAGUGAAACGGAAUAUCACGCAAGACUCAUGAUCUUGAAAUAAUCGGUUCGACUCCGAUAUCUGCUA
rnacentral:tRNA from 1 species